UCUGGCCGUGAUGACGCUCUUGCCCUCACUGAGAACACUGUUCACUAAUGAGAGCUUUACGUGCAGAGCUGAGCCAGA
ensembl:snoRNA